AACGAACGCUGGCGGCAGGCCUAACACAUGCAAGUCGAGCGCCCCGCCAGUGGAGCGGCAGUCUGGUGAGUAACGCGUGGGAACGUACCUUUUGGUUCGGCACAACUUCGUUAAACUUGAGCUAUUACCUGAUAAGCCCUAACCGGGUAAGAUUUAUCGCCUAAAGAUGGGCCCGCGUCUUAUUAGCUAGUUGCUGAGUUAACUGCUCACCAAGGCGACGAUCAGUAGCUGGUCUGAGAGGAUGAUCAGCCACACUGGGACUGAGACACGGCCCAGACUCCUACGGGAAGCGGCAGAGGGGAAUAUAGGAAAAUGGGGGCAAGGCUGAACCAGCCAUGCCGGGUGAGUGAUGAAGGCCGGAGGGAUGUGAAGCUGUUUUGUACGGGAAGAUAAUGACGGUACCGGAAGAAUAAGCCCCGGCUAACUUCGUG
rnacentral:rRNA from 1 species